GACGAACGCUGGCGGCGUGCUUAACACAUGCAAGUCGAACGGAAAGGCCUGCUUUCCCUUGUGGAUUGCGGGUACUCGAGUGGCGAACGGGUGAGUAACACGUGAGUGAUCUGCCCCCAACUUGGGUAUAGGCCUGGGAAACUGGGUCUAAUUCCCGAUAGGACUGCAGGGUGGUGCCUGUGGUGGAAAACGAUUUUCUAGUGGUUGGGGAUGAGCUCGCGGCCUAUCAGCUUGUUGGUGGGGUAAUGGCCUACCAAGGCGGCGACGGGUAGCCGGCCUGGGAGGGUGGACGGCCACAGUGGGACUGAGAUACGGCCCAGACUCCUACGGGAGGCAGCAGUGGGGAAUAUUGCACAAUGGGCGGAAGCCUGAUGCAGCGACGCCGCGUGGGGGAUGACGGCCUUCGGGUUGUAAACUCCUUUCGACCGCGAGGAAGCCACCUGGUUGGAAGGGUGGUGACGGUAGUGGUAGAAGAAGCACCGGCUAACUACGUG
rnacentral:rRNA from 1 species